GCGCCUGUAGCUCAACUGGAUAGAGCGUGGGCCUCCGGAGCCCAAGGUUGCGGGUUCAAGUCCCGCCAGGCGCG
rnacentral:tRNA from 1 species